rnacentral:rRNA from 1 species
AUUCCAGCUCCAAUAGCGUAUAUUAAAGUUGUUGCAGUUAAAAAGCUCGUAGUUGAACUUCUGAUAGUUGAUUUGGCUGGCUUCGGUCGCCUUGUUGGCUGUCAUCCGCUUGGGAAUUUCGUUCGGUCUUCAUUGAUUGGCGGGGGGAUCAAGCAUUUUACUUUGAAAAAAUUAGAGUGUUCAAGGCAGGCUAUCGCCAUGAAUACACAAGCAUGGAACAAUGGGAUAGGACUCUCAGUCAUUUUAUUGGUUAUUGACUGAAAGUAAUGAUUAAUAGGGACAGUUGGGGGCAUUCGUAUUUAAUUGUCAGAGGUGAAAUUCUUGGAUUUAUUAAAGACGAACUUAUGCGAAAGCAUUUGCCAAGGAUGUUUUCAUCA